rnacentral:lncRNA from 1 species
GUGAACGAGAUGGCAAUAUCAAAUCAUGCAAAGGAGAAAUGUUAAAUACCAAAUCGGAGCUAGUCCGACGUUUCAACUCCGGCAAGGUGAGGUAAAUGAUCCUUAGGUCCUUCAAGGUUCUUUCUUCCUCUCGAACUUUCCGCCUUCUUCGCUUCCUCUUUAACGAUUUGGGUUCGUUUCGGUUUUGACAGGGGGCUUAGCUCGAGCUUGUUGAGCUUCGGUGUGAAAAUCUCAACAAGUUCAAAACGGAGCUUUUAACUAGGGUUUCGGAAUGAUUUCUCUAGAGUAACGGCGCAGAAAUUCGGAUCCCUACUUCAUCCCUGGAGGUCCUUAUUUAUAGCAUUUUUGAUGUACGAGGUUUUGAAUUCC